rnacentral:rRNA from 1 species
CCUACGGGGGGCAGCAGUGGGGAAUAUUGCACAAUGGGGGAAACCCUGAUGCAGCAACGCCGCGUGAGUGAAGAAGUAUUUCGGUAUGUAAAGCUCUAUCAGCAGGGAAGAAGAAAGACGGUACCUGACUAAGAAGCCCCGGCUAACUACGUGCCAGCAGCCGCGGUAAUACGUAGGGGGCAAGCGUUAUCCGGAUUUACUGGGUGUAAAGGGAGCGUAGACGGCAUAGCAAGUCUGAAGUGAAAGCCCGUGGCUCAACCGCGGAACUGCUUUGGAAACUGUUAAGCUGGAGUACUGGAGAGGCA